CACGCCGUAAACGAUGAUAACUAGCUGUCUGGGCUCAUAGAGUUUAGGUGGCGCAGCUAACGCAUUAAGUUAUCCGCCUGGGGAGUACGGUCGCAAGAUUAAAACUCAAAGGAAUUGACGGGGGCCUGCACAAGCGGUGGAGCAUGUGGUUUAAUUCGAAGCAACGCGCAGAACCUUACCAACGUUUGACAUCCUUAUCGCGAUUAGAGGAGACUCUUUUCUUCAGUUCGGCUGGAUAAGUGACAGGUGC
rnacentral:rRNA from 1 species